ACGAUAUUCAUAACCAUUCACCAAUCUAGAAGCAAACUGAACAAACAUAACAGAUUAAUAGGUUACAGCAAAAAUUAUUCAAUCAUUUUCUACAGAAUAAUGUUCAUAUGAAUAUACGAUACAAUGAUGAGACCUGAUUCUUUAUAUUAGUAUUUUACAAAUCAAUGCAACUGUGAAAACUGUAUAAAGAAGAAAGAAUAUCUUCCUUAGGUGAAAACUGUAGAGCCUUGAGUGAAUUAGACAAGGAAGUGUGAUGGAUUCAUUCUUUCCUACGUCUCUUCAAAUAGGGAAUAAAAAAAAUCUUUCUACAAUUAAGGUAAUCACUACUCAGUACUCACAAUCUUGAGGAUGUGAAUGUUGAUGCCAUGUUGUUUUAGGUUGGUUGCUUGCAUUUACAAUUUCUAACAAGAGACUACCUAGAACGCCAGGAGAGGGAGGCAUCAUCAAGGCAGCUAUUUAUAUCAUGGACAG
rnacentral:lncRNA from 1 species